CCUUAAUCAGCAGAGCUUUAUAAAAGGCUGGAUAUCUGGUGGAGCAAGUCAUUUCACUGUGUUCUUCAUCUUCCAGAGGUCUUGACAAGUCUUGGCCUUUGGUAUUUCCAUAUAAAUUAGUUUCUGAGAUUCCACCAAAAAAAGUUUCAGGAUUUUGACGGAGGUUGCAUUGAAUCUACAGAUCAACUGGGAAGAACUGAUGUAUUUAUAACACUGGGUCUUCCAAUCUGGGAACAUGGUGUUAUGUUCCAAAAUAGAACUUGGGCACAAGGAGUUAAAAGAAACCAACCAACCCAUGAUAGGUUUGCUGGCAGUGGUUCUUUCCCCCAGUCCAAGGCUGGAGUACUCAUGUGAUGGCUUGAGCUGGAGCAGCCAUUGUGACCCCAAGAGGAAAGAGUGCGUGGAACAUGGGAGGCAAUAGAAGGAAUCAGGGUCCCUGGUAAUGGCUGUGUGACUACCUGGGCCCUAGGCUGGCAAAGACAUAACCUUCAACCUGCUUAAGCUACUGUUACUUGGGGGAUUUCUGUUUCUCACAGCAAAACGACAUAUUUUCCACAUUUGUUCAUCUAGUUUGUCUUUAGGGGGUGGGUAUGAGAAACAAAGGAACCAUACUGCACAUCAUGUUUUAUAACAUGCCUUUCCCACUUGAACCAGGGGCUGCUACUUUGCUUCUAGGUCAUCGCUAUAGUCUACACCAUGGCUCUGACAGGCUCCAGAAGUCCACUUAGGGCUUCAGCAUACUUAAUGUGAUCAGUCCUUGACCGAUAGACACUGAGGUUAUUUCCAGCUCUUUACUAUGAUGAGCAAGGUAGUGAUAAACAUCUUGGGUAUCUAAACUCUUCCCACACGUCCUUAACAUUUUCCCUAAAAUAAAUUCUCCUGGGGGAAUUAUAAUCAUUAUUAAAUCAUAAUAUAGUGAAAAUAAUUAAGCCAUUCUAUCAUUAAGGUGGUUUUCUAUCUUUUUUCCCCACUUCUACUUGAGUACCAACCAGGGAAUGGCAAUGCAUACGUUAGUUCUGAUUCUUAAAGAAAUGAAGGCUUUCAGGGCAACCUAAAAGCCACUGACAGGUUUCAUCAGAUCAAGAAGGGGAGUUUUUCCUUUGGGGUUAUUCCUAAACCUGUUUAUGAGACAUGUUUUCUAUUAGCAUUUAAUUGUCCUCCAUAUUUUCAGGUUCAAUGCAUCAGAGAGUACAAUUUACUACUGGAUACAAGGCAAUGUCCAGAAGAUAAGCCAAAAUACAUGUACCAAAUAAACCAAUAAAUAAGUUAAUGAAUAACUAGUCCCUGAUACUGGAAGAGCUUUUAGUUAUGAAGCUUAUACCAAAUAGGUUUGAAACCCCAUGAAAGCCUGUAAAGUUGUAUGUAAGUAUCAAAGUAUCCUGGGGCUUGCCCACAGUCUCCCCCUGAAAGCUCUUUUGCUUCAUCAGAAUCUACAGUUAAGAUACUUUAUCUUGAUUAUCUUUGAUAUGCAUCA